rnacentral:rRNA from 1 species
GAUGAACGCUGGCGGCGUGCCUAAUACAUGCAAGUCGAGCGAACGGACGAGAAGCUUGCUUCUCUGAUGUUAGCGGCGGACGGGUGAGUAACACGUGGAUAACCUACCUAUCAGACUGGGAUAAUUUCGGGAAACCGGAGCUAAUACCGGAUAAUAUUUUGAACCGCAUGGUUCAAAAGUGAAAGACGGUCUUGCUGUCACUUAUAGAUGGAUCCGCGCUGCAUUAGCUAGUUGGUAAGGUAACGGCUUACCAAGGCAACGAUGCAUAGCCGACCUGAGAGGGUGAUCGGCCACACUGAAACUGAGACACGUUCCAGACUCCUACGGGAGGCAGCAGUAGGGAAUCUUCCGAAAUGGGCGAAAGCCUGACGGAGCAACGCCGCGUGAGUGAUGAAGGUCUUCGGAUCGUAAAACUCUGUUAUUAGGGAAGAACAUAUGUGUAAGUAACUGUGCACAUCUUGACGGUACCUAAUCAGAAAGCCACGGCAAACUACUG